ACAGAUGGCCGAGCGGUUAAGGCGCUAGCUUAAGGUACCCUCCUCGGAGGCACUGUACGCUAGUUCGAAAGAGCGUGGGUUCGAUUCCCACUCUGU
rnacentral:tRNA from 1 species